rfam:Trichosporon oleaginosus strain IBC0246 unplaced genomic scaffold CC85scaffold_52, whole genome shotgun sequence.
AUCGCUAUGGCUUAGUGGAAGAGCGCGGGGCUCAUAUGCGGCGACCCCGAGGUCCCAAGAUCGAGACUUGGUGGCGAUA